GACGAACGCUGGCGGCGUGCUUAACACAUGCAAGUCGAACGGUAAGGCCCUUCGGGGUACACGAGUGGCGAACGGGUGAGUAACACGUGGGUGAUCUGCCCUGCACUUCGGGAUAAGCCUGGGAAACUGGGUCUAAUACCGGAUAGGACUCCUGCCUGCAUGGGUGGGGGUGGAAAGCUUUUGCGGUGUGGGAUGGGCCCGAGGCCUAUCAGCUUGUUGGUGGGGUAGCGGCCCACCAAGGCGACGACGGGGAGCCGACCUGAGAGGGUGACCGGCCACACGGGGACUGAGACACGGCCCACACUCCUACGGGAGGCAGCAAGCGGGAAUAUUGCACAAUGGGCGAAAGCCUGAUGCAGCGACGCCGCGUGAGGGAUGAAGGCCUUCGGGUCGUAAACCUCUGUUGGUAGGGACGAUAAUGACGGUACCUACUGAGGAAGCUCCGGCUAACUCCGUGCCAGCAGCCGCCGUAA
rnacentral:rRNA from 1 species